AAAUGUGAGGGCAAUCUGGCUGCAACAUCUGUCACCGCAUUGAUCGCCAGGGUUGAUUCCACUGAUCUGGCUGGCUCGGCGGGGCCCCCUUCCUCCCUGCUCCACGUGCUUCUCUCCUGAAGCUGUGCUCUUGGCAGAAGAAGACGACCACCCCAGAGAGAGGAGGACCGUUUCCUCGGUCGAGGGUGUAGGAGUAGCUGCGCUCCCCUGCUAGAACCUCCAAACAAGCUGUCAAGGACCUACCUCCUAGCAGCACACGAACUGCUGAAGUUCUCCUUGGAUACAUCCACUGAUAAAUGCAGCACUCCCAUGGUCAUAUUAUCUUU
ensembl:misc_RNA 7SK 7SK RNA